AUUGAACGCUGGCGGCAGGCUUAACACAUGCAAGUCGAGCGGGGUGAUGGUGCUUGCACUAUCACUUAGCGGCGGACGGGUGAGUAAUGCUUAGGAAUCUGCCUAUUAGUGGGGGACAACAUCUCGAAAGGGAUGCUAAUACCGCAUACGUCCUACGGGAGAAAGCAGGGGAUCACUUGUGACCUUGCGCUAAUAGAUGAGCCUAGGUCGGAUUAGCUGGUUGGUGGGGUAAAGGCCUACCAAGGCGACGAUCUGUAGCGGGUCUGAGAGGAUGAUCCGCCACACUGGGACUGAGACACGGCCCAGACUCCUACGGGAGGCAGCAGUGGGGAAUAUUGGACAAUGGGGGGAACCCUGAUCCAGCCAUGCCGCGUGUGUGAAGAAGGCCUUAUGGUUGUAAAGCACUUUAAGCGAGGAGGAGGCUCUUUUGGUUAAUACCCAAGGUGAGUGGACGUUACUCGCAGAAUAAGCACCGGCUAACUCUGUGCCAGCCGCCGCAGUAA
rnacentral:rRNA from 1 species